ACACAGGCACAAAGGUUUUCUCAAAGACUGUCCGAAUGGUCUACUGACGGAGCAAGGUUUUAUUAAAAUUUACAAACAAUUCUUCCCGCAAGGAGAUCCCAGUAAAUUUGCCUCGCUGGUGUUUCGUGUCUUCGAUGAAAAUGAGGAUGGCGCGAUUGAGUUUGAGGAGUUCAUUCGAGCGUUAUCGAUUACAUCGCGCGGCAACCUGGACGAAAAGCUGCAAUGUAAGUACAAUCGGGGGAAU